rnacentral:rRNA from 1 species
CCUACGGGUGGCAGCAGUGAGGAAUAUUGGUCAAUGGACGAGAGUCUGAACCAGCCAAGUAGCGUGAAGGAUGACUGCCCUAUGGGUUGUAAACUUCUUUUAUAUGGGAAUAAAAUGUUCCACGUGUGGGAUUUUGUAUGUACCAUAUGAAUAAGGAUCGGCUAACUCCGUGCCAGCAGCCGCGGUAAUACGGAGGAUCCGAGCGUUAUCCGGAUUUAUUGGGUUUAAAGGGAGCGUAGGUGGAUUGUUAAGUCAGUUGUGAAAGUUUGCGGCUCAACCGUAAAAUUGCAGUUGAAACUGGCAGUCUGGAGUACAGUAGGGGAGGGCCGAAUUCGUGGUGUAGCGGUGAAAUGCUUAGAUAUCACGAAGAACUCCGAUGGCGAAGGCAGCUCACUGGACUGAAACUGACACUGAGGCUCGAAAGUGUGGGUAUCAAACAGGAUUAGAUACCCUUGUAUC